rnacentral:rRNA from 1 species
GACGAACGCUGGCGGCGUGCUUAACACAUGCAAGUCGAACGGAAAGGCCUCUUUCGGGGGGUACUCGAGUGGCGAACGGGUGAGUAACACGUGAGUAACCUGCCCUUGACUUUGGGAUAACUUCAGGAAACUGGGGCUAAUACCGGAUAGGAGCUCCUGCUGCAUGGUGGGGGUUGGAAAGUUUCGGCGGUUGGGGAUGGACUCGCGGCUUAUCAGCUUGUUGGUGGGGUAGUGGCUUACCAAGGCUUUGACGGGUAGUCGGCCUGAGAGGGUGACCGGCCACAUUGGGACUGAGAUACGGCCCAGACUCCUACGGGAGGCAGCAGUGGGGAAUAUUGCACAAUGGGUGGAAGCCUGAUGCAGCAACGCCGUGUGCGGGAUGACGGCCUUCGGGUUGUAAACCGCUUUCGCUCAUGACGAAGCUUUGUGUGACGGUAGUGGGUAAAGAAGCACCGGCUAACUACGUG